UGAUGUAAACCACCACAAAGGCAGUCCGGCCAUGCUGUUGCACGGUGGAAUCCCACCAAUUGCUGCAUCAACA
rnacentral:tRNA from 1 species